GAUGAACGCUGGCGGCGUGCCUAAUACAUGCAAGUCGAGCGAACAGACGAGGAGCUUGCUCCUCUGACGUUAGCGGCGGACGGGUGAGUAACACGUGGAUAACCUACCUAUAAGACUGGGAUAACUUCGGGAAACCGGAGCUAAUACCGGAUAAUAUAUUGAACCGCAUGGUUCAAUAGUGAAAGACGGUUUUGCUGUCACUUAUAGAUGGAUCCGCGCCGCAUUAGCUAGUUGGUAAGGUAACGGCUUACCAAGGCAACGAUGCGUAGCCGACCUGAGAGGGUGAUCGGCCACACUGGAACUGAGACACGGUCCAGACUCCUACGGGAGGCAGCAGUAGGGAAUCUUCCGCGAAGGGCGAAAGCUUGACGGAGCAACGCCGCGUGAGUGAUGAAGGUCUUCGGAUCGUAAAACUCUGUUAUUAGGGAAGAACAAAUGUGUAAGUAACUAUGCACGUCUUGACGGUACCUAAUCAGAAAGCCACGGCUAACUACGUG
rnacentral:rRNA from 1 species